AACGAACGCUGGCGGCAGGCCUAACACAUGCAAGUCGAACGCUCCGCAAGGGGAGUGGCGCACGGGUGAGUAACACGUGGGAACCUACCUUCUGGUACGGAACAACCAAGGGAAACUUUGGCUAAGACCGUAUACGACCUCCGGGUGAAAGAUUGAUCGCCGGAAGAGGGGCCCGCGUCCGAUUAGGUAGUUGGUGAGGUAACGGCUCACCAAGCCUUCGAUCGGUAGCUGGUCUGAGAGGAUGACCAGCCACACUGGGACUGAGACACGGCCCAGACUCCUACGGAGGCAGCAGUGGGGAAUAUUGGACAAUGGGCGCAAGCCUGAUCCAGCCAUGCCGCGUGAGUGAUGAAGG
rnacentral:rRNA from 1 species